rnacentral:lncRNA from 1 species
GAAGGUUCACGAAUCUGAAUACUCAAUAUAGUUGGAGUCUUGAUGACGGUAAAACAGGUGGUCUAACCGACACACGCGAUUACACGAAAGUAGCAAAGGCUAAACUUUAUCUAAUCAAAACCCAAGGCUCCAUAGGGGGGCUCAUGGGGUAUAAAUAGGAGGGGAACUAGGUGGUUUUCGGCCAGGCCCUUGUGGGAGUCCGAAACGGCCUAGGAAUCCUCCUAAAACACAACGAAAACAUCUAAAAAUUGGCUGGACCCUAUUACAUGGCCUUAGGCCCAAUAAAACAAGGUUAUAACCCUCAUCUUUGGCCCAUAGAUACCCAUUGGAGGGGGAAUCCUCCACUUGGCCGAAAUCCCAUUGAUGAAGAGGAUGCGGCCUUCUUCUCAUCUCUUUAUGGCGGUUUCAAUGUUCUGAAAUCAACACUUGAGCUACCUCCCACCACCUUGCUGCCACCUCCAUGGUUUGCUGUCCAACGCUGAUCCUUGAGGUCCAAGCUAGGUCCUUCAUUCCUAAAACACAUAAAAGAACCCAUCUUAGGCAGCAGCAUAUUCUCAUUAAUAUUAAAUGAAAUACCGAGGAACGAAAGUACCUGAUAAUUUAGUUGUCGUGCACGAGCUCUAGUAAUUGGUCCCUGUAUCUCCGGUACUUGAGGUGUAGGUGCUGUAGGGGCUGUGGUUGUAUCAUUAGUUGGGAUGUCCUCAUCAUCCUCCCCUUCUUGAAUCGAAGUCGUCCUCGACGGUAGUUCAUCUUCUUCUCCCAAAUAAGGCUUCAAAUCUGCAAUAUUAAACGUGGGACUAACCCCAAAAUCUGCAGGUAGCUCAAGUUUAUAUGCAUUAUCAUUAAUUUUCGCUAACACCUUAAAGGGACCAUCAGCUCGUGGCAUUAACUUAGACUUGCGCAAAUCAGGGAAACGAUCUUUGCGCAAAUGCAACCAAACAAGAUCUCCAGGUUCAAACACAAUUUGUUUUCUGCCCCUAUCUCCCGCAAGUUUAUACUUAGAAUUCAUGCGCUCAAUGUUCUCUUUAGUCGUCUCAUGCAUUUUUAUUAUAAGUUCAGCACGUUCCUUAGCAUCAAAGUUAACUUUUUCAGAAGUUGGCAAAGGUAACAAAUCAAUUGGUGCACGAGGUAUAAAACCAUAAACAAUUUCAAAAGGGCACAAUUUUGUGGUUGAAUGCAGUGAACGAUUAUAAGCAAAUUCAAUAUGAGGUAAACAUUCUUCCCACAUUUUCAAGUUCUUCUUUAAAACAGCCCUAAGCAUAGUAGAUAAUGUUCUAUUAACAACUUCAGUUUGUCCAUCUGUUUGGGGAUGACAUGUAGUACUAAAAAGCAAUUUAGUCCCCAACUUAGCCCAUAAACAUCUCCAAAAGUGGCUAAGAAAUUUUGUGUCACGAUCUGAAACUAUAGUAUUGGGCACACCAUGCAAGCGAACAAUUUCACGAAAGAAUAAAUCAGCAACAUUUGUAGCAUCAUCGCUCUUAUGACAAGGUAUAAAAUGUGCCAUCUUAGAAAAUCUAUCAACAACAACAAAUAUGCUAUCCCUCCCCUUCUUAGUUCGAGGCAAUCCCAAAACAAAAUCCAUUGAUAUAUCUUCCCAAGGAACAUUAGGAACAGGGAGAGGCAUAUAUAAACCAUGAGGAUUGAGUCGUGACUUAGCUUUUUGACAUGUAGUGCAGCGAGCGAUAAAUCUCUCAACAUCCCGUCUCAUCCGAGGCCAAAAGAAAUGAUCAGCGAGCACAUCUUCGGUCUUCUUCACGCCGAAGUGACCCAUCAACCCUCCUCCAUGUGCCUCCUGUAACAACAAAAGACGAACGGAGCUAUCUGGGAUGCAUAGCUUGUUAGCACGGAACACAAAUCCAUCAUUAACGACGAACUUGUUCCAUGUUCUGCCCUCUUUACAAUGCUGCAAAACAUCCUUAAAAUCUGCAUCAUGUUCAUAUUGUUCUUUUAUAGUCUCCAAUCCAAAUAUCCGAAAAUCAAGCUGAGAUAACAAGGUAUAACGACGUGAUAACGCAUCAGCAAUAACAUUAUCUUUACCCUUCUUAUGUUUAAUAACAUACGGAAAAGACUCAAUAAAUUCAACCCAUUUAGCAUGACGACGGUUCAGCUUUGCUUGACUACGAAUAUGCUUCAAAGAUUCAUGAUCAGAAUGUAUAACAAAUUCUUUGGGCCAUAAAUAAUGUUGCCAUGUUUCUAAAGUCCGAACGAGAGCAUAUAAUUCCUUAUCAUAAGUAGAAUAAUUCAGACUAGGCCCACUCAAUUUUUCACUAAAGUAUGCAACAGGUUUUCUGUCUUGUAACAACACACCUCCUAAACCGAUUCCACUAGCAUCACACUCCAACUCAAAAGUCUUAUUAAAAUCAGGAAGUUGGAGUAAAGGAGCAUGUGUCAACUUAUCUUUCAAUAUGAGAAAAGCUUCUUCUUGUGCAGCGCCCCAUACAUAUGGAACGUCCUUCUUUGUGAGCUCAUUAAGCGGUGCAGCAAGGGUGCUGAAAUCCUUUACAAAGCGGCGGUAAAACCCAGCGAGUCCAAGAAAGCUCCUCACUUGGGUGACCGUUGUUGGAGUUGGCCAGCUUUGAAUAGCGUCGAUCUUGGCCUUAUCAACUUCUAUGCCCUGUGGAGUGACAACAUAGCCAAGAAACGAAACUCGAUCGGUGCAAAAGGUGCACUUCUCAAGGUUACCAAACAAACGUGCAUCUCUCAAAGCAUCAAAAAUAGCACGUAAAUGAUUCAAGUGGUCUUCUAAAGAGCUGCUGUAAAUCAAUAUAUCAUCAAAAUAAACCACCACAAAUCGUCCUAUGAAAGCACGUAAAACUUCGUUCAUUAACCGCAUGAAAGUGCUAGGUGCGUUAGUAAGACCGAAAGGCAUGACUAACCACUCAUAUAGUCCAAACUUAGUUUUAAAUGCUGUUUUCCAUUCAUCGCCUAAUUUCAUUCGAAUUUGGUGGUAACCACUACGUAAAUCAACUUUAGAGAACACGGUAGAGCCACUUAAUUCAUCUAACAUAUCAUCAAGUCUAGGAAUUGGGUGACGAUAGCGAAUAGUAAUGUUAUUAAUAGCUCUACAAUCUACACACAUACGCCAAGAACCAUCUUUCUUUGGUACCAAAAUAACAGGAACAGCACAAGGACUAAGGGAUUCACGAAUAUAACCUUUGUCGAGCAAUUCUUGAACUUGUCGUUGAAUCUCCUUCGUCUCCUCUGGAUUGGUACGGUAGGGCGCACGGUUGGGCAGCGAAGCACCAGGAAUUAAAUCAAUUUGAUGUUCAAUCCCUCGAAUAGGUGGUAAUCCUGGUGGUACGUCUUGUGGAAAGAUGUCGGAAUACUCCUGCAAAACGUGAGUAACAGCAGGGGGCAAAGAGGGAGGCAUAUCCUCAAAUGAAAACAAAGCCUCUUUGCAAAUGAAUGCAUAGCAAACAGAAUUAUUCGUAUCUAACUCAGAAAUAUCGGAUUUACUUGCAAGCAAGCAUGCACCUUUCAAUUUAAUUUCAUUAACAUGUUUCGGUUCAGAUUUGCUAGUAGACGCUUGGUGCUUAAAUUCCUUAGCGACAUUAUGGUUCUCACUAUUAUCCUUCUCUUUGCUCUUUGCUCUACUAGCUCUAGCAAGAUCAUCUUUCACAAUUUGUUCAGGAGUCAUAGGUUUCAAACCAAUUUUCUUACCAGCAUGCAUAAAAGAAUAAUGAUUAGUUCUACCAUGAUGAACAGAAUCUGUAUCAUAUUGCCAUGGACGACCGAGUAACAUAGAACAUGCUUGCAUAGGUACCACAUCACAAUCCACAAAAUCAGAAUAUGUACCAAUAGUAAAGUGUGCACGGACUGUUCUAGUUACCUUGAGCUUACCGCUGUUGUUAAACCAUUGAAUGUAGUAAGGGUGGGGGUGCGGCCUGGUGGUAAGAACAAGUUUUUCCACCAUCUCCGUGCUGGCCAAAUUAUUGCAACUUCCCCCAUCUAUGAUGAUACGAACAGCGCGCUCCUUGAUGACCCCUUUUGUUUGGAACAAGUUAUGCCGCUGAUUUUGUUCGGCGUGGCUCAUUUGGACGCUCAAGGUGCGUUGUGCAAUCAAACUCAAGUACUGAUCAGCGGCUUCAGCUCCCAUUAACUCCUCGUCAUGGUGGGCAGCGGGGUCUUCUUGCUCUUCCUCGGCAAUGAGAGCAUAGGUAGCUUCGUCAAAAUCACUGGCUGAAUCAUAUACUCCGUCUUCACGUAUGAUCAUAACGCGUUUGGUUGGACAGUCCCGCUGAAAAUGCCCGUAUCCUUUGCACCUACGACAUUGGUUAUCUCCGGUCCGUCCGGUGGAAGCAACGGACGCUGCUGAACUUUGUGCAGAGGCAGCGGGUGUAUUUCUUGUUGCUGCUGGUCCAACCUUUGCGGAUGUAGGUGUAGAGGUACUUUGCUUGUUGGUGGAAGUAGUCGGAACAACCGGACGUGUAGGGGGUGCAGCUGGGCGUGUGGAAGGGGCAGCGGGGCUGCGUGCUGCCCAUGAGGAAGUACGACCUGCAGAAAAGUUAGUCCGCGCGUUCGCGUGUCGUCCCUGCACUUCCCUUUCAGCUUUGCAAGCAAUGUGAAACAAUCGAUUGAUAGAAUUAUACUCCUUAUAAUCAACAAUGUCAGCAAUUUCACGAUUUAAACCACCAAAGAAUCUAGCCAUAGCAGCUUCCUCAUUCUCAACUAAACCACAACGUAACAUGUUCUUUUGCAUUUCUUGAUAAUAAUCUUGGACAGAAUUACUACCUUGCCUUAAUUGUUGUAGUUUCUUUAACAAGUCACGCGAAUAGUAUGAAGGAACAUAUCUAGCGCGCAUAAUUCUUUUCAAAUCAUCCCAUGUUGGUGGUAUAGCGUUAGGAUGUGCAAUACAAUACUCAUGCCACCAAACAGAAGCAAAAUCAGUAAACUCACUAGUAGCAGCCCUAACCCUUUUAUUAGCAGGAAAAUCAUGGCAAGUAAAUUUUUGACUCAAUUCUAAUUCCCAUGUAAGGUAAGCAUCAGGGUCAUAUUUUCCAUCAAAAGGAGGAACCUUAAGUUUAAUAGAAUGCAGCGAGUCAUGUUCCUCUCUGUGAGGUCGUGUCGGUCCCAUACCUCGGCGGUUGAAACGAGUUCGGCGAUGAUCACGGUCGUUGUGAUGGUUUACGGCCUCGUCGUGUUCCGUAUCCGCGGAGUAGUCGUCGUCGUUCUCCUCAACCUCGCUUGCGAAGGUACCGUUAUUAGCCGUCCGCUGGUUGUGUGUAUUGUUUCCUCCCGGUGUAGCGAUGGUCGUUGCAGCAAUUGCCGCCAGUUGCUUCGUGAUUUCUGCCAGAGAAGUACUAAUGGUAGCAACAGAAUUCUGUAAAGAUGUUAGCUUGGUAUUUGUUUCAAUGUGCGCGCUCUCCAAGGUUCCAAGUCUCUCAUUCGCAACCCGAACGUCCUCAUCCAGCUCCUCGUUACGGAGCCUAAGCUUGCGAUCAAAAUGUGAAAUAAUGCCCUUUGUGCGUGGAGAGUGGCCUUGUAAAUCAUCAUCAGAACCUGCCAUCGUUAGGAGAAAACAAGAAACAAAUCACAAGGAAAAGUCCCUAUGCACUACUAGGACGUGGGGUUCCAAAGAUCACUCCACUCAACUUUUAAUCAAGUUCUUACUCGUUCUUACCCAGCAAACAGGAAGGUGAUGGCCAGCGGCAAGAACAAGCCCUCCGAAGAUUAGUGUAUCGAUGCCUCGAGGCAAACCAACCUAGGUGUAGAAUCUGUGGAGCUUGGAGGCUUAUGUGAGUAGCAAGGAAAAGCGAAUAAUCAAAUCAGCAAUGCAAAGUUGAAAAUAUGCUCAAAAAUGCUAGUCCUAGUUGCUGGAGUCGACAAGAACGAAUUACAGAAAUUAACUAAGCCUAGAUACUGAAAAAGGUAGAAAGGAAAGAUCAAAUGAAAGGUAAAACAAGUAAAUCUCUGGGGAAUAUUUUUUUUUCUCUUUUUUUUUUCUUUUUGUGGCCUUCUGUUUGGCUUCUUAUUCUUUUCUAUUUUUUUUUUUUUUAUCCCCAGAAACUCACGCAAAAUAAGUUAAGACCGGAAAGCUGCACGUCGGUCUGUAGGAGAAUAGCAAAGGCUGUAGUAAGGAAAACUCAGAAAAAUAUGAGAAAAUUUGGGUUAGAAGCGUAUCAAAACAAGCUUUCCAACAAGUGCAAGAUCACUCGAAACGGAGGUCGGACGGUGGAGAAAACUGCGAUAUACUGCGCUGCCCCGGUCCCGUAAAACGGGUGCAGAAACUUUGGAGCUCGAAAAGUCCACCUUAGAUGCCGAAUUUGAGGGUCAAAGUGCAGGGCAGCGCCCUGGAUAUUUCCUGAUGUGCCUCGUCGUGAGCUUUCCAAAAAAUCCAAGAACGUCCAAAUCCGAGUUGGUAUGCAAAAGAUACGUCCGUUUUACUGAACACGGGUCAAACCCACCCGAAACUAAAAUUCUACUCGGACUCGGGUCCGAAACUGACUCGAACUCUUUCUCUCUUUUUUUUCGUUUUUUUUUUCUUUCUUUCUUCCCUUUUUUUUUUCUUUCCCUUCUUUUUUUUUUUCACAACUUUCCGAACAACUUGAUCUCUGAACAAAAUUCGAUCUAUUAUGAAACACUUUCCAAAAGCACUCUUGAUUGGACUCGGACUCGAACUCGCGGCUGAAAACUAUAACUUGCCGACUCGAUGUAGGACUCGACGAGGGACUCGGUGUAGGACUGGAAGAAGGACUCGGUGUAGGACUCGAAGAGGGACUCGGUGUAGGACUCGAAGAGAGACUCGGUGGAAGAUAUGGUGGCGGCAGAAGAUUAUGGCGGUGGUGUGGCAGGAAGUUUGGCGGCGGAAGAUUGAUGAAGGAAACCUGCGUCACACGAAGAACAAGAAAACCAAAAGCAAGUUCGAUCUAGUAGAAAAAAUCUGAAAAACGAUCCAAUCUAAUCCAGCAACUCGACACGAUUAAUGCAGCAAAGAUUCAACAAUGCAAAUACUAAUGUGAAAAUUGCAAGGCUCAGAUUGGUUCUAGGACAAGGUAACUAAUUCUAAUUUUUGUUUGGCUUUUUCUGGACGAUAGGUAAAAACAGAUCUAAACUACGGAUAAACUGGAAAAAUCUCACCGAGCAACCUUAAGCUCUGAUACCACGUGAUAGCCUCGAGGGUGUCCCGAUCUUUCGAUGAGAUACCUAAUUAUCGAUUUGGUAGGAGGUGACGUUGACGAUCCGACUACAACCUAGGAGGCAGCGCCUUAGCGAUCGAUACACCAACUCCAGAAGGUUAUUGAUCCCGUGGGGGCACGAUCAACCUGACCACGAAGGUCUUUGUUCCUGCAAGCAAUCGAAGAACAAGCAAGAACAAGAUGAAAAGCAAUCUGAAAUUGCGAAUAGGAGAUAUGAAGGUUCACGAAUCUGAAUACUCAAUAUAGUUGGAGUCUUGAUGACGGUAAAACAGGUGGUCUAACCGACACACGCGAUUACACGAAAGUAGCAAAGGCUAAACUUUAUCUAAUCAAAACCCAAGGCUCCAUAGGGGGGCUCAUGGGGUAUAAAUAGGAGGGGAACUAGGUGGUUUUCGGCCAGGCCCUUGUGGGAGUCCGAAACGGCCUAGGAAUCCUCCUAAAACACAACGAAAACAUCUAAAAAUUGGCUGGACCCUAUUACAUGGCCUUAGGCCCAAUAAAACAAGGUUAUAACCCUCAUCUUUGGCCCAUAGAUACCCAUUGGAGGGGGAAUCCUCCACUUGGCCGAAAUCCCAUUGAUGAAGAGGAUGCGGCCUUCUUCUCAUCUCUUUAUGGCGGUUUCAAUGUUCUGAAAUCAACACUUGAGCUACCUCCCACCACCUUGCUGCCACCUCCAUGGUUUGCUGUCCAACGCUGAUCCUUGAGGUCCAAGCUAGGUCCUUCAUUCCUAAAACACAUAAAAGAACCCAUCUUAGGCAGCAGCAUAUUCUCAUUAAUAUUAAAUGAAAUACCGAGGAACGAAAGUACCUGAUAAUUUAGUUGUCGUGCACGAGCUCUAGUAAUUGGUCCCUGUAUCUCCGGUACUUGAGGUGUAGGUGCUGUAGGGGCUGUGGUUGUAUCAUUAGUUGGGAUGUCCUCAUCAGUCGGGUGCGUCCAAGACAAGCAUUAGAGUCGAUUGGACGCAGCCCCCCGAGUGUCGGGUGCGUUCAAGACAAGCAUUAGAGUUGAUUGGACGCAGCCUCCCCGUGUCGGGUGCGUCCAAGACAAGCAGUUUUUGGGUCCAUCCUGCUGCGUGGACGAGAGCUGAAUAUUGUGCUUUGCGCCGUGUGGCUUGCAAUAAGAUGUU